GAUGAACGCUAGCUACAGGCUUAACACAUGCAAGUCGAGGGGUAACAAGAGAAAAGCUUGCUUUUCUUGUUGACGACCGGCGCACGGGUGAGUAACGCGUAUCCAACCUGCCCAUAACUAGGGAAUAACCUUGCGAAAGUAAGACUAAUACCCUAUAAUUUCCUUUGACGGCAUCUGACGAGGAAUAAAGAUUUAUCGGUUAUGGAUGGGGAUGCGUCUGAUUAGCUUGUUGGCGGGGUAACGGCCCACCAAGGCAACGAUCAGUAGGGGUUCUGAGAGGAAGGUCCCCCACAUUGGAACUGAGCCACGGUCCAAACUCCUACGGGAGGCAGCAGUGAGGAAUAUUGGUCAAUGGGCGGAAGCCUGAACCAGCCAAGUAGCGUGCAGGAUGACGGCCCUAUGGGUUGUAAACUGCUUUUAUACAGGAAUAAAGUUAGCCACGUGUGGUUAUUUGUAGGUACUGUAUGAAUAAGGACCGGCUAAUUCCGUGCCAGCCGCCGCAGUAA
rnacentral:rRNA from 1 species